GAAGCGGCAACAGCUCAAAUUUGAAAUCUGGCCUCACGGUCCGAAUUGUAAUUUGUAGAGGAUGUUUCUGGCGACGUGUCUUCCGAGUUCCCUGGAACGGGACGCCAUAGAGGGUGAGAGCCCCGUCCGGUCGUACACCUAGCCUCUGUGAAACUCCUUCGACGAGUCGAGUAGUUUGGGAAUGCUGCUCUAAAUGGGAGGUAUACGUCUUCUAAAGCUAAAUACCGGCCAGAGACCGAUAGCGCACAAGUAGAGUGAUCGAAAGAUGAAAAGCACUUUGAAAAGAGGGUUAAAUAGUACGUGAAAUUGCUGAAAGGGAAGCGCUUAUGACCAGACUUGGGCUCGGUGAAUCAUCCGGCGUUCUCGCCGGUGCACUUUGCCGUCCCAGGCCAGCAUCAGUUCGCGCCGGGGGAUAAAGGUUUCGGGAAUGUAGCUCCUUCGGGAGUGUUAUAGCCCGUUGCGUAAUACCCUGGCGUGGACUGAAGUCCGCGCUCUGCAAGGAUGCUGGCGUAAUGGUCAUCAGUGAACCCGUCUUGAAACACGGACCAAGGGAGUCGUCUUCGUAUGCCAAGGGUUCGGGUGUCCAAACCCCUACCCCGUAAUGGAAAGUGGAACCGUAGGAAAAAAGCUUUCGGGGGCAACUUACCAACCGAUUCCUGAAAGUUCUCCGGAUGGGAUUUUGAAGUAAGAAGGCUAACCGGGGUCCGGAACCCCAAACGAAAGGGGAAACUUAUGCCCUGAAUAAUGGGGGGAAAGCCCAAAAGAAAAAUCCUUGAGGGGGAAGGGUCCCGAAAUGGGUUUCUUUAAAGGGCCAAAUUCCGAUCUGGCCAAAAAAUUGGGGGCCUUGGGGGGGCCAAAAAAGACUAAAAACCGAAACCUUUCCCCGGAACUUGGGUUUCGCG
rnacentral:rRNA from 1 species